rnacentral:rRNA from 1 species
AUACGGAGGAUCCGAGCGUUAUCCGGAAUCAUUGGGUUUAAAGGGUCCGUAGGCGGUUUUGUAAGUCAGUGGUGAAAUCCGGCAGCUCAACUGUCGAACUGCCAUUGAUACUGCAGGACUUGAAUUAUUGUGAAGUAACUAGAAUAUGUAGUGUAGCGGUGAAAUGCUUAGAUAUUACAUGGAAUACCAAUUGCGAAGGCAGGUUACUAACAGUUGAUUGACGCUGAUGGACGAAAGCGUGGGGAGCGAACAGGAUUAGAUACCCUGGUAGUCCACGCCGUAAACGAUGGAUACUAGCUGUUUGGUAGUAAUACUGAGUGGCUAAGCGAAAGUGAUAAGUAUCCCACCUGGGGAGUACGGGCGCAAGCCUGAA